CCCCGGACCCUCAGCCUCGGCCCCGGGAGCCCGGCCCGGCCCUCCCGCACCCACGGGGGGCGCCGAGCCCGGUGACACCCCCGUGUCGCCGUCCCGUCGGUCAGCCCCCCCGCCACCAUCACUGCCAGCCGCCGUGAGGGGGAAGGCGGGAGGUGGAAGAGCCCCCGGUCGGCUCCGUCUGCCCCCUCGGCCGAGAGGGAGGAGGAGACGUUUUAGGCAGCGUUUCUCAGAGAUUAAGAAAUACCCUGACAUGCUGUAGCCAAAAAGGAGGAAAAUCGCUCCGCUUGCUGGGGGGAGCCACAGGGAGCUUCUCCCAGUGGUUGACGUACUUCAUCCACAAGAGCAAGGAUUCCUUUCAGAAACUGGAAAACCCCGUGGAGUCUCAGGCAGCCCAGGAAGCAAGCGGAGCCAGAAAGGCAAUAGCGCGUCCCUUCCUCCGUCCUGCGGGUGCCUGCGCAGAGGGGCAGGAAGAAGGGGUGGCAACACUGCUCCAGGACAGCCAUUCCCUAGACAAAUCUCGACCGGCACCAGGCUGACACCCCAAGCUCCUUUCAGGCAGGAAUUGUUUACCCAUCACACUAACAAUUUCAGCACUGUUGACCAGGGCUGGACCCAAACCAAUUCCAUAUUCUGUAUUCUGCUGCCAUCCCCCUUGGCCAUCCCCUCCUAUUUGGUGAAAAAUUCCAGAGAGGAGCCUGUGGAAACUCUGUCCAUAUGACCAGAACGUGGCAUCCGAGAUCAGACAUCAUUGUAAAGGCUGGGAAGAUGGUCUUUAUUCUCUCAAGACACUUUCCCUCAGGUUUCUGGUGGGAUCUGAGUUAAACUUUUACUGUUCCAGCAAGCUGUAUGCUCUGUAUUCUGGAGGGCAAGCAGGCUGAGAUCUUGGCACCAGUGCUGUUCAACAGCGCACAGAGAAUGCUUUGAUUGAUUUAUUUGCUGAGCGCUGUUUUUUUUACCUGGGGUGUACUACCCGCAGACAUUUCCAAUUCCGCGCAGCACAGGCGUGUGCAGUGGAUGAGUUUUCUGCCCAGCUGUGUCACAGAGGCUCUGGGCUGGCUCAGGACGUCAUGCCGAAUGUGGUGCAUUCACAGGGUGAGAACUCUGGGUUCAGCUCUUCUCGCUCAGGGCCAGCAUAAACUGGGAUGGAAAAGGGGCACAGCCAGCAAGAAACAAUUUGCCUGACCCCACAGCAGGCUCCCUGAGCAGCCUGCACCCCUUUCCUGGGGUGGAAGGGGCAGGGUACGUGAGCCAAACACCGGUGUGGUCUCCCUCAGAAAAACAUCGAGAACAAAAUGAUGUCGCUCCCUCUUGUGAUCACACAACGAAGCAGGGACCAUACAACCUGUUGGUCUUCUUCGUAAGUCCCUUUUCAGGUCCUUGUCCUUUUAUGUAUCUCAGACCAUUAAAAUCACAGCAAUUUGAACAGUUAGGUAGUUAAAACCAUAGAGAAGUUUCCGGUCACAGUCAUCUUCUCUCACCUUUAUCUGACAGAAUGAAAGCUAAAUGCACAUUAGAUCAUACAGACUGAAAUGUAUUGAGUUCCUUCAGUCUUUACAACGUUUUGUUUCAAGGUAGUGCUGGUGGAGAACGGCCCGAGCCAGAUGUGGGGGAAGCACAGUGCAUAGGUCAGGAUGGUCGCUUUUACUGUGGGGAAUCCAAAAUUCUGCAGGAUACUUUUUAAAAUAACUAGGGCAAGUAAACACUAGCAUGAACCAGGAUUUCUAUCUGUACCUCUCUAUUUAGAGGAAAUGAAUGCCAGUUAUUCACUGAGCAUAUAGUCAUGCUUUGGCAUUCAUGUACUAACUGAGUUUGGUGAGGAGUCUGUAUUUGUGGUAUUAAUUGGCAGGUUUUUUCCCUUUUUAGGACACAAGUCAGUAUUUCUCAUGCUCAGUAACACAUGCAGAAAUUAAAUCCCAAAAUUUUAUUAUUGGGAUCAGAUCAAGGAUCAGAAAUUAUAGGGAUAAGAUCAAACUGCUGUAAGAUUCUGAAAUAAAAAUUAUCUGCCUUUUUAUUGGGGUGCAUGGUAAGUUUGCACUGCGCAUCAAAAAAAAAACCAGUUGUCUACUGGACAUCCUUUUAUUCCAUUUAAGAGGCAAAGUCCUUAGUUUGGCGUUUGAAUCUCGCAGACUACUACUCUGCAAUAAAUAUGCCCAGUCGAGUUCUACAAGAAGUCCCAGAAGUCCCAGUGACUUCAGCAGGAACUAGAAGAGGCCCUCUGUGUACCAGCACCAUUGUUCUAAAGUAGUGAUUUCUGACACCACAAAAUAAGUUGUUUGUCAGGGAUAUUAUUCUAUUAAUUGUUUCUUAAGCUUUACAAAGGCACGAUGGAAGGAAAAUGUUCCUGUUGCCCCCCCUUCCAUAAGAAGCUCCAUUGUGUUUGUAAUUCGUCUGCUUGUAAGCUGAGGAUUUACACCGUCCAUUUUUAACAUGUUUUCAUCUACAUUGGUUUUAUAAGCUUAAAUAAGUUCCCAUCUGCCAAGUGCUUCCAAAGACCGUUGGCGUUGAACCAAUUCAAGAAGCUUGCCAUGAAGAUUACACACCAGUUGUGCUCAUUCAAAACAAUGACUUCUGACCACUGCACCAGAAGAAAAUAGUCUCAUUUAUUGUCUCAUAAUCAUGCGUCUCUGCAGUGCUAGUUCCACUUUUGCCAACGAGAAGGGUGCUCCUUUGAUAUUCUACAAAUAUUUCAGCUCAAUCUCCUUAACACUGUGCAGUUCUUUGGCUCCUUAGGUUUGGUUUGGUUUUGUUUGUUGAAAGCUCUUGUUUCAGUUUGGUGUCUAAAGAAAACAAAGCAGUGUUGCUUGCAUUGUUAAAGCCAAAAGUAGGGCCACAGAAAAAAUGUUCUUCUUGGAAGAUUUUGUAGAUUGGUAUUCAUGAAACAGCUGGAGAUGAAACAUACAAUGCUAAUCCUGUCCAGUUGCUCCUGGUCAUGUUGCACAUUCAGGAAAUUCAUAAUUAGGUGGUUAUAUCCCCAGCAUUUCCCCUGCAGCACUCUUUACAACUAGCAAUUUAUCUUCUUUCUUGUCAUUAAAAAAAAAAAAAAACUACAAAGGAAAAAGGGGGGGAGAAAAUACAAGGAGGAGUAACUUAAAAUAUGCUUAAUAGUUUCUGCCCUCUGUAAAAAAUUCAGAUGUUGUCAUUUCUGUACGUACCAGUAAACUUACACUGAUCCAUUGCCCUUUUCUAUCACAGUAUUUUUCCUCUGUGCUGUAUAUCCUUCCUACUCACAGAAUUUAUUUUUCCUGUUAUUUUUUUUUCUUUUUCC